ensembl:lncRNA
GGGAAACAACGCAGAGAGCCUCAAGAUCUAAGGGACAGGCCAGCGGGGUCUUCCCAUGCCAUGCUCUGCCAGAGCACUGUGUGUGCAUACCAAGUGCGAUAUUUGUGUGCACUUACUGCCAGCUCUCAUACAUGAAGCAGAAAACCAGCAUUGCCUCCUGCUGCUCUAUACGGAAAGGUGCUCAGGACUACCCAGAGCCUUCUCCAGGCUGAACAGCCUCAGCUCUCUCAGCCUUGUAGGAGAGGUGUUCCAUGACUUGGAUCAUUUCUGUCGCCCUGCUCUGGAUGUGCUCCAACAGGUUCAUGUCUCUCCUGUACUAAGAACUCCACAUCUGGAUUCAGCACUGCAGUCAUGCCACAGACUUCAUUCUUGACUUACUGAGUGCUGAUGUAAAGACUUGUCACAAAGUUAUCCAGAUCAGUGUGUGUCCGUGAUGGGGCAGCACUUGUGGGUCUUCCCC